GAUCUUCAGUACGAGUCAUUGCUUUAGCUUAACUUUUAACCAAUUUAAAUAAUUGGUCUAGUGUUAAUUUGGAAAGUCUUCCUGUUAAAGGGAAGUCUUUCUUCUAGGAAAUCUUCCCGUUAAAGGGAAGUUUUUCCGUUCUUGUUGCCACGUGGAUCCUCAGUAGGAGGCAUUGCUUAAGCUUUCAUAACUUUUAACCAAUGUUUGAUAACCGGUUUUUAUUUUUUUGAACGCCUUCUUGUUAAAGAGAAGCUUUUCUUUUCUACUGUCACUACAUGCAUGUUCAUUACGAGGUAUUGCCUAAGCUUACUUGUAAAACGUAACAAAUUUAAAUUGGUGCAGUGUAAACUUCUUUUGGAAAGUCUUCCUGUAAAAGGGAAGUUUUUCCUCUCCACUGUCACCAGAUGGGAUCCUCAGUACGAUUCAUUGCUUUAGCUUAAAUUUUAACCAAUUUAAAUAAUUGGUACAGUGUUUACCUUAUUUUGAAAAGUCUUAAUACUAAAUGGAAGUUUUUUUGGAAAGUCUUGUUAUCACAUGGAUCCUCAUUAGGAGACAUUGCUUAAGUUUAUUUACUUGGUGCAUUGUUCACUUAUUUUAUUAUUUUAAUUUUUUUAAAGGGGUUAGUUGCCAUUCGGUCGGGUUUGUGCAAAAACGAAUCUACUGACGGGUAAGGGCUUGGUUGCCCUUUGGUCAAGUUUGUGCAGAACAACCCCUACCGAUGGGUAGAGGUGUGAAAAUAAACCGACCAAACUUACAUUUUUCUGUCAAAUAUUUGUAUGAAAUCCAUUAUAAAGACUACUAAGAAAGUAACAAUAAAAAUAACAUUGCAGUGAUGACAAAAACCGUCAAAACAAACCACUCAUGGGGAGAAAAGUUCUCAAGUGCCCCAUCCACUCCCUGACUGCUGCCGACAAUGACUGACGGAAAAAGCCUUCAUCACCCCCACUACUGAUGGAUGACCUCAGUGAGCCUGCCAUCGGACUCAGAAGUCUUACUCAAGAAGGUAUUUUACUGUUGUUUAAGAGGUGAUGAUUUCGUAGUUAAAGUGUUUGACCUUAAACCUGCACCGGUCUUGUUGUCUUUCUGUCCAGUAGUCCUUCAGUAAUCCUCCUGAAUCACCUGGUUUUUCAUCGGGUGAUGAAAAACCAGUUUCAUCACAAAACAUACAAAACCCCAAAAGUAGAUGCCAAAAGGUUCAAAGCUUAUAAUUCUAAUGUUAAUUCACAACAACGUUGUCAAGGCAUUUUACGAAAAGUCAUUUCAAUUUUGUCAGAUUACUAUUGAUCCAAGUUAUCAAUUCCUUAAGUUCAGUUAAUUAUAAAGUGGUUUAAAAAGUUUGUACCAAACGAAACCCAGCAGAUUGUUUGGAGUCAUUACGUAUAGCAUUCACUCCCCCGGACCAGCAGGGGGCGGUAGCAAAUUGCUUGUGUUGAGUUGUUGUCUUUACAGCAGUACUUCAUGCAGAGCAUGCAUGCUGUGACAGUGGAGAGAAAGAACUCCCCUCCACCAGGAACAAACCAACAGCAGAACCAGAACCGGGCUUGGUACCAGCAGCCAUUUGCCAUGACCGAUUGUAGCAGAGAGGAGACAAAGCAGAAACACAACAACAGAGCGGUCAAUGACUGAGCAGUGGGGUGUGUGUACCUGAAAGAAGAAGAAAAGUACAUUCUUGGAAAAGACAUUAAAAGAGGCACAGCAGCAGAUGCAGAUGAGGUAUACUACCCCCAAAACUUUGAUCUGCAAUCAAAGUCUUGGGGGUGAUGGACUAAAAUAUGUUCAGUGAUCCCAGAUGAUGGACAGAAAACACCAUUCUUAUGUGUCUGCAUAUCUACCAUUCGGUGUAAAUGGGCCUUGAUGGCGGCUGGGGAGGAGAUGGACAGUAUCGAUGUUGGUGUUUCUUUUUUCUGUUGGAUGGAUUUCCAGAUUAUGCUUGUAGUGAUGACCAGACAGGGUGGUAAAUGCAGAUAAGAGAAGCAGACCAUUCUUUUACAAUUAUGUCUUACAGGUUGGCUGAUCCUCUUUAGGUCUUUGUGAAUGAAGACUAAAGAUAAAUUGUCAGUCAAAAGUUUGACAAAAACCUCUAGUGUCAUAUAUGUCUAAGAACUUUAAAAAGUCUAAAAUUCCUUUACAGAGAAUACUAUACGGAUGAAUGGAUGUUCAUAGUGGGCUUGGCAUCAUCGAGUACCAGCUUAGUGCACAGGCAGUACACCUGACAAUUACAUGCAUUGUGACUCUGUUCACUUGUUUAGAGGUUCUAGUUUAGAGGUUCUAGUGCCACAUAUGUAAUAUAAUGGAUUUUAAAUAGUGGAAAUGGGGGUGUCUGUAGUGGUCACCACCACCUCCUCCCCCAUUUUAAGUGCAGUAUAUAACAACAUGUAUCAAUGCUCCGAGCCUGGCAAGUCUUGAGUCAGUUGAGACUGGAGAUGACGUUCUUGUUCUUCAUUUUAGUAGUUCAUUUUAUUUCAUUUCUGUUCCUGGUUUGGUGGUUUGGCUUCGGGUUUUCAGCGGGUUCCAGGUUUUCAGUGGUGUUUGGUGGCAAUCAGUGGAGUGGCUUUUCUUUGGCGGAGGAGGCUAGCUGUCGGCUUGGUGCAACAUUUAUGAGCUUGGGGGUAGGGAUAUAGGUGUACUGCCAGGAAACACCAGGCACAUGCUGGGGUGCCUCCAGGCUCAUGGUGUGAACUACUCAUAAAGCAUCAUUUGAUUCAGAUGUGUUGAACCAAGAAUAGAACUAUAGCAGGCAGACUACUGGCCAUUGAAGACCAUCUUUUCAUGGAUCUAGGCACACAGAGAGAAGCAGAAUUGGUAUCAUCUGUAUCAUCUGUUUCAUCAACAGAUGAUUGAUGAAUGAAGCAACUUGGAGGCUUGAUUACUGCAGCUGAAACAAUUGGGUAAUGUUUAGAGCAGGAGCCUUCAACUCCUUCAACUUUUCAAUGUGUUCCUGGUCCAAUACACCUGAGUCAAAUGGCUGAACUUCCUCCUCAGUCUGCAGAAAAGUGAUUUAGAGUCCUGGUAAUGAGCUGAUUAUUUGAUUCAUGUCUACUGAAGAAGAGAUGCAUCUAAAAGUUGCAGGGCAGCAACUUUUAGCUCUUGAGGUCUGGAUUUGAAGACCCCUGGUUUAGAGAGCACAGGUUUUCUCUUUUCACAAAGUUAAUGACUCAAAUGGGGAACUACCCAUUAUAUAGUCAAUAGAAGAACUUGGUGCUGUAAAGGAUGCUCCAGAGUGCCCUGGAAUGCUUCACCCUGUUAAAUCUUUAUUUUUGAACUAAACGUACUGUAGGUGCUGCACUUCUGAACAUUAA